CCUACGGGGGGCAGCAGUAGGGAAUCUUCCGCAAUGGACGAAAGUCUGACGGAGCAACGCCGCGUGAACGAUGAAGGCCUUCGGGUCGUAAAGUUCUGUUGUUAGGGAAGAACAAGUACCAGAGUAACUGCUGGUACCUUGACGGUACCUAACCAGAAAGCCACGGCUAACUACGUGCCAGCAGCCGCGGUAAUACGUAGGUGGCAAGCGUUGUCCGGAAUUAUUGGGCGUAAAGCGCUCGCAGGCGGUUUCUUAAGUCUGAUGUGAAAGCCCACGGCUCAACCGUGGAGGGUCAUUGGAAACUGGGGAACUUGAGUGCAGAAGAGGAGAGUGGAAUUCCACGUGUAGCGGUGAAAUGCGUAGAGAUGUGGAGGAACACCAGUGGCGAAGGCGACUCUCUGGUCUGUAACUGACGCUGAGGAGCGAAAGCGUGGGGAGCGA
rnacentral:rRNA from 1 species